AACGUAGGACGCAAGCGUUAUCCGGAGUUACUGGGCGUAAAGCGCGGGCAGGCGGCUCGAAACGUCUGAUGUGAAAUCUCCUCGCUCAACGGGGAGAGGCCAUUGGAAACGGUCGAGCUGGAGGGCAGUAGAGGUAGGCGGAAUUCCGGGUGGAGUGGUGAAAUGCGCAGAUAUCAGGAAGAACACCCGUGGCGAAGGCGGUUCUCUGGGACGGUACUGACGCUGAGGCGCGAAAGCGUGGGGAGCGAACAGG
rnacentral:rRNA from 1 species